rnacentral:rRNA from 1 species
UACAGAGGUCCCAAGCGUUGUUCGGAUUCACUGGGCGUAAAGGGUGCGUAGGCGGUCGGGUAAGUCUGAUGUGAAAUCUCACAGCUUAACUGUGAAACUGCAUUGGAUACUAUCCGGCUAGAGGAAUGGAGGGGAGACUGGAAUACUUGGUGUAGCAGUGAAAUGCGUAGAUAUCAAGUGGAACACCAGUGGCGAAGGCGAGUCUCGGGACAUUUCCUGACGCUGAGGCACGAAAGCCAGGGGAGCAAACGGG